rnacentral:lncRNA from 1 species
CUAUCUAGUUAUUCUAGAAUCUAUCAUUGUUCCUUUGAAGAAAUUCAACAUUUGCCUUACAACCAGAGAAUAAACAUCAGCUGCUAGAGAAAGCUAUUGAAUUUCAAAAUCCCUUUGAAAUGUCACAUUAACCUGUUUAACUUUCAGUCAGUUCUUUAAAAUAUCAAACAUUUCCUGAUGACUCCCAGAUCUAAGACUGCUUAUAUUUCUCUAACUUAAAAGUUUGUUUCCUUCACUUGCAAACCAACUGUGGUGAAUGAAUCAGCACUGUUUAGGCCUGGAAAAGUGGAUCACAGCUAUAAUCUGUGUGAGUCCUUCUACAGGUUUUCAAGCAUGACUGCACUCAUGGUCAUCAACAUGGAGGGGAACUGUGACAUCCCAGACUGACCUUCAGCUCAGAGGCUCAGGAGGUCAGUCCUAUUGGGUGACGAUGAUCGGAUUUCGUGAGAAUCCGACACAAAGGACUCAGAGGCAGAUCAAACCACCGAAAGCUCAGACUGUUAGACCACAGGGGUACCUUCCUGCGCGGCCUGCGGACACCGGCCGCACUUCGCCAGUCGGGCAGUGGCACAGCUUACGUGCAAGCGGCCCCAGCGCAUGUCUCAUAGAAUCAUGUCGGCAAGGCCAUCCCAACCUCUCUACUGAGCAGGCCCUACAGUCUCCGUGGCCUCGGGAAACAAGCUCCUACCCCACUCACUCGGGAGCGAACACCGGUGACCGGGGCUGCGCUGCGGACUUUUCUCCACGUUGA